UACGUAGGGGGCAAGCGUUGUCCGGAAUCAUUGGGCGUAAAGCGCGUGUAGGCGGUUCGGUAAGUCUGCUGUGAAAGUCCAGGGCUCAACCCUGGGAUGCCGGUGGAUACUGUCGGACUAGAGUACGGAAGAGGCGAGUGGAAUUCCCGGUGUAGCGGUGAAAUGCGCAGAUAUCGGGAGGAACACCAAUUGCGAAGGCAGCUCUCUGGGACGGUACUGACGCUGAGACGCGAAAGCGUGGGGAGCGAACAGG
rnacentral:rRNA from 1 species